CGCUGCAAAACUGCGUCG
rnacentral:snRNA from 1 species